rnacentral:rRNA from 1 species
CACGCAGGCGGAUUGAUAAGUCGGGGGUGAAAUCCCGGGGCUCAACCUCGGAAUUGCCUUCGAUACUGUUAGUCUUGAGUCCGGGAGAGGUGAGUGGAAUUCCUAGUGUAGAGGUGAAAUUCGUAGAUAUUAGGAAGAACACCUGUGGCGAAGGCGGCCACCUGGUUGGAUACUGACGCUGAGACGCGAAAGCGUGGGGAGCAAACA